rnacentral:lncRNA from 1 species
CAGUGACAAAACAGAGUCCAAUUUCCUCCUUGCGGGAUAUACCUAACAAUCUCAUACAGCCUUUGGGUUUUGCAGGAACUCAGGCCCCCACUCAGGCGUGGAUGGAAUGAUGAUGUUGGCCUUCCUGACUUCAGUCAACUGAAGCUUGUACUCUGAAGACCUUGGCCCCAGGAGGUCCUGGGAAGGAAUAUGGAACGAACACCACCACCCAGAAGAAUUUGGGAAAUGUCAAAAGGAGGAAGGAGAUGCCAGUCCAUACGUCCUACCAAGCUUUCAGCAUCUCAUCUUCUCACUGGAAUCCAUCUUAGCUGAGCGAUGCGCAUGGCCAGGAAAGACCCUGAAUCAGAAUGACUGGGCAGAGACAGGUCAUAAGUUGUCUCAUUACCAUAAAGCCUGAGACUGUGAGCCACGUGGUGGAGCAGUUGUCCUGAGUUCCCUUGCCCUCCCGCCCUCUGCUCAGGCGCCCCUUCCCAAUAAAAUCUCAUGCUUUGACAGCACGUGCGUCUCCUCGGACAAUUCACUGUUGAGUAUGAGAUGAGUGCCCACUCUCAGGCCCUGAAGGAGGCCCUCUUCCUGCAACAAAUGGCUACUCUGGUGGGAUCUCUUCUUUGCCACGACUGACAUCCUGAUCACUUGGGGUACUUGGGAACAAGCUUGCCUGCCCAUGGACCAGACCCAGUGGUCACUACCUGGGACCCUUUGUCCCUGGUCUCCUCCUGAUGCAGCUGGUUGGUCAGAGUGCCCUGACCCUGACCGGGUAAGGAACAAGAGACUCUGUUGACCUCAUUCCCUUUCCUCUUUCCAUCUCCUGCUAUCCCACCCUUUUUCCUUCUGCCUUUAUCCUGAAUGCAGGAGUCUGGUUGAGGGGUCUCAGCCUGAUCUGAGGGUCGGAGCCUGAUCACUUCUGGUGGGCAGAGAACUCAGAUUCUGAUCUCAUAUCUGGUUUCUGAUUUCUGCUAGGGUGGAGUUCCUGACCUUUCUUCCUGAAAAGCCAAGGGAAAGUCCUGUAAUAUCUGAGCGCUGCAGGUGGCAGGAGCCGUCUGUAAGGUCAUCUCUUUUGUCCCUUCUCCUUACCC